AUACGGAGGGUGCAGGCGUUACUCGGAAUCACUGGGCGUAAAGAGCGUGUAGGCGGGUUAAUAAGUUGGAAGUGAAAUCCUAUGGCUCAACCAUAGAACUGCUUUCAAAACUGUUGACCUAGAAUAUGGGAGAGGUAGAUGGAAUUUCUGGUGUAGGGGUAAAAUCCGUAGAGAUCAGAAGGAAUACCGAUUGCGAAGGCGAUCUACUGGAACAUUAUUGACGCUGAGACGCGAAAGCGUGGGGAGCAAACAGGAUUAGAAACCCUAGUAGUCC
rnacentral:rRNA from 1 species